rnacentral:rRNA from 1 species
UACGGGGGGGGCAAGCGUUGUUCGGAAUUACUGGGCGUAAAGGGCUCGUAGGCGGCCAACUAAGUCAUACGUGAAAUCCCUCGGCUUAACCGGGGAACUGCGUCUGAUACUGGAUGGCUUGAGAUUGGGAGAGGGAUGCGGAAUUCCAGGUGUAGCGGUGAAAUGCGUAGAUAUCUGGAGGAACACCGGUGGCGAAGGCGGCAUCCUGGACCAACACUGACGCUGAGGCACGAAGGCCAGGGGAGCAAACGGG